GACGAACGCUGGCGGCGUGCUUAACACAUGCAAGUCGAACGAUGAAGAAAAGAAUUAAAGCUUCGGCAGAAAUUCAUUUCGGAUUAGUGGCAGACGGGUGAGUAACGCGUGAGCAACCUACCUCUUACAAAGGGAUAGCCUCGGGAAACCGGGAUUAAUACCAUAUAACAUUGCGACGAAGCAUUUCGAUGCAAUCAAAGCUACGGCGGUAAGAGAUGGGCUCGCGUCCCAUUAACCAGAUGGUGAGGUAACGGCUCACCAUAGUAACGAUGGGUAACCGGCCUGAGAGGGUGAACGGUCACACUGGAACUGAGACACGGUCCAGACUCCUACGGGAGGCAGCAGUGGGGAAUAUUGCACAAUGGAGGGAACUCUGAUGCAGCGACGCCGCGUGAGUGAUGAAGGAAUUCGUUUCGUAAAACUCUGUUCUAUGGGAAGAAAAGGACUGUACCAUAGGAGAAAGCGCCGGCUAAAUACGUG
rnacentral:rRNA from 1 species